GGGGUUGGUUGAGGGCACAGAAAGGUGGGGCAAGAGGGAGCAAGAUGAAGGGAGAGAGAUGUGCUGGCUUGCAGGGAGAGAGAGGGGGGGAGAGAGAGAGCGCACCUAACCCACACUAUUAAAUUAGUCAAAACAGGAACAAAACAGGAACAUAGCCUAGGGGAGGUAGCAGUAGCAGCAGUAGCAUUAGGGGCAGUAGCAGUAGGGGAAUAAAGAGCAGUAGCAGCAGCAGCAGUAGCAGUAGCAUUAGGGGCAGUAGCAGUAGCAUUAGGGGCAGUAGGGGCAGUAGCAGCAGCAGUAGCAGCAGCAGCAGUAGCAGUAGCAUUAGGGGCAGUAGCAGUAGGGGCAGCAGCAGCAGCAGUAGUAGCAGCAGUAACAGUAGCAAUAGGGGCAGUAGCAGAAGGGGAGGUAGCAGCAGUAGCAGCAGUAGCAGUAGGGGCAGUAGAUGUAGAAGAAGCAGUAGUAGUAGCAGUAGUAGUAUCAGUAGCGGCAGUAGCAGUAGAAGUAGCAGUAGAAGUAGCAGUAGUAGUAGCAGUAGGGGCAGUAGAAGUAGAAGUAGCAGUAGAAGUAGCAGUAGCAGUAGAAGUAGCAGUAGGGGCAGUAGCAGUAGCAUUAGGGGCAGUAGCAGUAGCAGUAGCAUUAGGGGCAGUAGCAGUAGCAUUAGGGGCAGUAGGGGCAGUAGCAGCAGCAGUAGCAGCAGCAGCAGUAGCAGUAGCAUUAGGGGCAGUAGCAGUAGCAUUAGGGGCAGUAGCAGUAGGGGCAGUAGCAGCAGCAGCAGUAGUAGCAGCAGUAACAGUAGCAAUAGAGGCAGGAGCAGAAGGGGAGGUAGCAGCAGUAGCAGCAGUAGCAGUAGGGGCAGUAGAAGUAGAAGAAGCAGUAGUAGUAGCAGUAGCAGUAGUAGUAUCAGUAGCGGCAGUAGCAGUAGAAGUAGCAGAAGAAGUAGCAGUAGUAGUAGCAGUAGGGGAGGUAGCAGUAGCAGUAGAAGUAGAAGUAGCAGUAGAAGUAGCAGUAGUAGUAGCAGUAGGGGAAGUAGCAGUAGCAGUAGAAGUAGGGGCAGUAGCAGUAGCAGUAUAAGUAGCAGUAGAAGUAGCAGUAGUAGUAGCAGUAGG
ensembl:lncRNA